AUCCUGUGGCUUUGGUGAGAGAGUGUGC
rnacentral:piRNA from 1 species